UCCCUGAACUAUAUGUUUAACAAAUCUCUCACCCUGUCCAUGGAAGACAGAAGAAAAUGUGUAUAUGCUGCUUAGUAUUGUAAAUGUCUGGCCACUUCUGUGGUAGAAAAUAGUAAUAAAAAAAAAAUACCAGCAUAGUCAUCAGGACAACCACUACCAGCAUAGUCAUCAGGACAAACUACCAAAAUAGUCAGGACACAAUUAGAAUAGUGAGUCAUGGGAGUACUACCAGAAUAGUGAGCAAAGACAACAUGUUAUCAGCAUUGUUACUAUCUAAGGCAUCGCUGGCCGGUUGCUCUGGUGCCACCACCAGGACAAGCUUGUCCUGUCCACCUCUUACACCGAGAACGAGAAAUAUUCACUGCUCCACCAUGUCUGGGUUGUCGUGAAAACGUGAACAGUUUUAUUGGACUUUUUCAAAUUUAAAUCUGAACGUACAGAGCUGGGAGGGGGGGGGGAGGGGGCAGGUGGGGCUGGGUGUGGAUGGCGCUUUGCGGUACGAUACUUUGUGGUGGGUUGGUGCUGACGUGUGGCUCGUCUCCUGCGCCUCGCGUCACAUUCUUCACAUACUACACUAAAAUACGAGCUAAUCUUGCUCAUGCUUUGUCUUGUUAUUGAUUGUUAGGUCGGGCGAGGUUGAGGGUGGGAGUGCCACCUGUUGGCGCGGGACUAAAGCGCCACUUCUUGACCCUGGCAUCAGAUGGCACCACUCGCCGUGUGGCGUGGCGGACGCUGCGGCCGUCCACGCCCACCUCCGUCUUGGCCUCGCACGCCACCACCCCCAUCAUCACAUGCGCUAACUUAUAUUUUUUGGGUGUACAUAAUGCUUUUAAAAUGAUUAGCCAUGAUAGCAUCACGCGAGAUAAUUUGAGUAAUUUUGGGAAAGGGAUGUGAGGUGGAGUGGGAGGAGCCCCGCCCCGAGAGGUGAGGCUCCUCCCACUGGGCGGGGCCAGGCUACGCCGCACCCACCAGCUGCCGGAGCGCGAUAAUUAUGGCCGAGCUUUGCCAAACUCACAAAAUUUUGUCUUGUUUACUUUUCCCGCUCCACAAAUGAAGGCAUCGAAGUAUGUGGGGCGUAGUGAUAAAGUGGCGAGUUGUGUGUGUAACAGGAGGUUAAUUGUGGAGCAGCGAGGGAGAGAGAGAGAGUACGGGGACACUCCUCUCCUCGGGACAUCUAAAAGAGCCAAGUCUAGACUGAUGACCCACCCUCGUUGCCUCCAGAGUCAGUUACCCUUUAGUGAGGGCAGGGGGGAACAGCUGCCAUCCGCCGCUCCUCCACACUCGCUCACCUCAAGUCACAGCCAGAUCACUGCUGUCUAUGGUGAUGAUCUAGAUGAAGCCAGUGGCCGAGAUCCCGAAGGAUACCUUAUUGGAAGUUGAUCCCCAGUUGAAGCCAGUGACCAGCUCCCGAAGGAUACCUUAUUGGAAGUUCAUCCCCAGAUGAAGCCAGUGACCAGCUCCCGAAGGAUACCUUAUUGGAAGUUCAUCCCCAGAUGAAGCCAGUGACCAGCUCCCGAAGGAUACCUUAUUGGAAGUUCAUCCCCAGAUGAAGCCAGUGACCAGCUCCCGAAGGAUACCUUAUUGGAAGUUCCACUGCUUGUUAUGAUAAGUGAUAAUCUAAAUAUUUUGUUCAUCAAAGAGAUUAUAGAUCUAGCGGAUUUCUCUGGCAAUUCCUUCGUGACAAUACUGAACGCCCAAAUAUUGAUAACACAGUAUAAUCUUAUGUUUUUAAAAUACUGACCUGUAGUUGGUUUUGCUAGACAAGUCAAUGUUUUCGUCCUUAGAAUAUACACUGAUCAGCUAUCGGUAUAAAGCUUUCGUGAAAGUUAGGGUAGAUCCUGAUGAGGAAAAUAUUAGGAUAUGAUUAUUUAGUAAAUUUAGUGGACACUAAUAUAUAUGCACCAGAAAAUCCCUAAACAGUUAUAUGUGUUAAUUAGCAUACACAAUAGAAUACAAACUUGAUUUGACAAUUUGAACUACCAUCCUCAUUCCUUACACUUUUUUUUAUUCUUGACAUAAAUACUGUUGACUUUUAGCAGAGUGACAUGGAAUUUAAAUAAUAAAGUGAAAAUUCAGACCUUUGUAAAUAACCUUAAUUUGUUACAAAACAGCAUUAUUGUGGAAUAAGUGAUUAACGUAGUCUUAAUUCAUUUGAUUAUGUCAGAAUUUGGUAAUUGAUGUUAUACACUCUCACGAAUUCAAAUAUCAAAAUAAACCAGAUAUUGACGAUGGUUGAGUCCAGUUCUGGGCAGUAUUCAUAACACUUGUGCUGACUGGAUCAAUGUAGAGUGACUUUUGGAAGGAGACUUUAAUUCCAAGUUAUUCAGAAAUCCUACACAUUUUAGGAAUGAAAACUUUUAUUAACAUUUGUUCCUCCUCCACAGAUGAUGGACGACAGUGCAGAGUGAAAUUACAAGCAUUGUGGCCAGACUUCCAGAGAGCCUGUCCUCCAUUCCCUGAGACCCUUUCUUGUGAAGGAAGGCGUUCACAAGCAAGGUGCUCAGGCAUGGAUGGCAGUGCUACUUCCUCAGUGGGCCUUCACCAUAUUACAACCCCAGAAUUUCAGCAAUAUAAAAAUUAACUUCCGAAGAACAAUGCUAUGUAACUGCCCCUCCAGCAGUAUUACUACAUCUGAGAAUUGACUGAAUUUUUAUUUUUUGUGUAUUGUGUGUGUGUAUAUAUAUAUUAUUCAAAUUAUAAUCUGUUAUAUUGUUAUUCUUUAAACUAGUCAGUCUCUUACAUUUAUAACAUAUAAAUGUUUAGACUGUAGACCAGUUAGUUGCCCAUACUUGAACUACUGACCCUAACCAGGAUACAAUCUCGCAACAGUUGCCUGUCAGGUGCUAUGUGAUAUCAGAUAAAAUAAAGGAUGCCCAACUUGGGAUCCUCGAUUGAGUCCAAAACAUAGACCACUGUACUAUAGGACUUUUGCCUCUCCAAUUUUUUUCUUUACACACUAGUAUGCGUGCGAGUCAGCUCAUUAUGUCUACCUAAACUCAAAGAUAUACUUACUAAAAAUAGAUUACACAGUAUAUGAAACGUGAAUUUACUCUUGUUUAUUAGUCCAAAGCUAAAUGAAUUGUGGGGUUCAGUCCCUGAGCCCAUUAUGUGCCUCUGUAACCCUUUCCACUACCGCCCACAAGAUGGGUAUGGGGUGCAUAAUAAAUGAACCAAACUAAAACUAUUAGUCCAAUAGCAGCCGAAAAUGGUGACAUUUUAUGGUGAAAUAGAAAUGGCAAUGAUAUUAAAAUAUAAACGCAUAAAGCUUUUACUGUGGAAAACUUAACAUCCAAUUUCUGUCAUAACAAUUACUAAACAGUUAACAAAAAUUCCUUUUGAUUUAUUAAAAUUUCUGAACAGGAUGUAACUUGGUGCUAAGAUAAAACAGCUGAUCCUGACAAAUUUUAUCUAAGAACAUUAAGUGCAUUUAAAAAUUAAAAUAUGACACUUUUCACAAUAUUGUACUUUUCAUCAAGUCAUUCGAGACCAAAACCUUUCCAUGGUACUGAAAUCUAGAAAAUGUGACACCAACCUUGAGAUGAUUUUGGGGCUUAGCGUCCUCGCGGCAGUUUCCCAGUAUGCUUUCUGUUGAAAUUGUUUGAGUUUUAUUAAUCUAUUUCUUUUAUAAAAUUCUUAAUAUAUUCGAUAAAAAAAAAAAGGUUGCAGCAUACACACUUGUAUCUUUGUUUCCAUCAGUGUCACACUGUAAUUGCUAGAAUUAGGUUGGAAUAUUAAUAUUUAUGGCAAGGCAUGACUCUUCUAACAGUGAGCACUCCAAUUGUUUAUUCUGAAUAAGAGCUAGGAAACACUCCAAUAUUUAGUGAAUGUCUUGUUAUCAAUGAUUUUAAACUAAAUGGUGAGUUACUUUGAGCUUUGUAAUUAUUCCAUUCACUCAGAUACUGGAACUCGUGCUCAGAUACUCAUGCUCUACCCAAAAUUUGCUAUUCCAGACUAGUAGGAAACUCUUGGAGUUAUUUAAGAAAGCAGAACAGUGCAGACUAGAACUAGCAGGUUCAUUAUCACAAUGAAAUGUGUCAAGUAAAACAUAUGUAUGGGGUAAGUACAAUCAGCAAACAGACGUAGUCACAGCUCGAAUAUGACUUUGCUACGGGUAUCUCUGGCAGUUCGGA